GAUCCUGGCUCAGGAUGAACGCUAGCUACAGGCUUAACACAUGCAAGUCGAGGGGCAGCAUGUUGGUUGCUUGCAACCGAUGAUGGCGACCGGCGCACGGGUGAGUAACGCGUAUCCAACCUACCCUUGUCCAUCGGAUAACCCGUCCGAAAGGCGGCCUAACACGAUAUGCGGUUCACAGCAGGCAUCUAACGUGAACGAAAUAGUGAGGAGAAGGAUGGGAGUGCGU
rnacentral:rRNA from 1 species